GAGGGAUGGGAGAAGUCUCACCAAAUACUUCUCUGUGCAAGGAGCUUUCAUUUGAUUUAACCCCCCUUUCCCAUGAGAACAUCACAUCCUAAUGGCUUGUUUACUUCUCUGUCUCCCAGAUAACCCAUGGGCUCCUGAGAGCAGGGAUUGUGACUUACUCAUCUUUGAUGUAGCCAAGUUCUAACAAACCUAAAUGUGCAGCCCAAGGAUCUUCAGUAACUAUGGCUCCCAGGAUGAUCAAAGAAGUCUUGCUGUGUCCAGAUCACAUAAAUAUUGAAUAAGGCUGCUUGGAAUCCUUAAAAGAGUUUGGAGAGGAGGAGGAGUCCAGUGCAGAAGAUGGUAUCAGAAAAUGCUGACCCUCAGCUAAGAGCUAAUACAAAAGUCAGCAACAAAGGAAUGAGAAUGGAUCCUAUCAGGCAUGGCUUCUAUUUUCGGCUUGGAAUUUGCACACGCAUUGCUUUUAAGGUAUAAGUCGUGCAAGAAUUUGACUGUCUGGGUCAGAACAAUGAGAAGGAGAAAAGCA